rnacentral:lncRNA from 1 species
UGGGAUUUUCCACAGAGAGGAGGCCAGGUGUAAAACCGAAUGAGGAUGAUUUAUGAAAAGCAAGGAAAUGCAAAGUCCCUGCAGACUGAGGUUCACAGCUUCCCCACGCUCUGCCUGCACCUCCGGCCAUCCCGUGUUUCACGCUGACAGCCUCGCCCCCUGAGCCUGCUCAGUGGAGGCUCCUAUGUGAGGGAAGCCUAUGUUCGGCCACCAGAGGAGCCUGGCAAAGUGGGCUGGCACCUUCCUUUCUCCACCUGCCUCUGUUGUGAGGGUGAAUGGCCCAGACUCCCUGAGAAGGGGGAGGUGGCUGAGGAGAAAUGGAUUGAGACUGAAGGUCGUCGGAACCUGCGUGGCCCCGUGCUGAGCGCCAUGUUGUCCUCAGCCUGUUCCACCCACAUGUAUGGCCCAGGGAUUUGGGAGGGACACAGAGACACAGAGCAGCAGGGAGGCCACAUUGCCAGCACCCCAGCCAUGCCUCCUGAAAAGCAGGAGCGUGGACACGUUACCCCUCCACCCUCGGGCCCCGUCCCCUCAGUCCCCUCCUCCAGCAGGUGGACGUGACACUGUGGGCAGAUGCACGGGCAUUGCAAGGGGCCACUGGAGAAUCCACAGGAACUGAGCUGCAUCCACGACAGAGGCCUGGAAGCAGAGGCAGAAUGUGGGUGGCCUGGAGCUUCUCCUACGGGUGGCCUGAAGUGGGAAAAUAAUAAUGGACAUUUGGGCUCAUUCCUCAUCACACAAAAAAAGUGCCAAGAUGGAGCAGAGCACAGGACGUUGCAAGGACAGUGAUCUCAGCCCAGGGCCAGGGCAGGGUCAUGUCAGACCAUCCCUGACAGCCGAGACAUGGCAGGUUCCCAAUGCCACACUGACUGGUGGUUUUCAGAGCUUUUCCUUGCAUCACCCCCAACUGCCCACGGUGACCCUGAAUUAAAGGAACCUGCCAGCCCUUGGAUCUGCGAUGCCCCUGCCUGACCCCACACCAUCCUGCUGUGUGCCC